rnacentral:lncRNA from 1 species
GAGAGUUCCCAAUUCAUUCCUUUCCUCCGGUUACUGAGCGCCUCCUACAUGCCAGGCGCACUACAGAAGCCUGGACUCAAACAAAGACCAAGAACUGUGGGCCCUGAGAAAAGCUUUUCUUUCUGGUCUGAAGAGCAGGAAGAGGGCCCCUGCGGGAUACAGAGAUUUGGAGGGAAUCUCCUCCCUCAUUUUAACUUUCUCUCCCAUCUCAGCCCCAGAUUGUGAAGUUGGCACGAGCCCAGCUCAUAAUGGAUAGACCUAUGGCUGACUAUGAGAAAAGGUGUCUGAAGGAUGGCCCAGAUAGCAAAACAAAUAAGCCAGUAAGCAAACAAAUGGGGGAGCCCUGGAGUUGGACCGCCUGUCUAUAAAUCCAGGCUCUGCUACCUACUCGAUGUGGGAUGAUCCUGUGGACAUUGCUUAGUUUUUUACCACCUUACUGGGUUCAUUUAUAAAAGGUAUCCUAAUGUAAAGUACUACAGGAGAUUAAAACAAAAAACUCACCAGCAACUAUAGUAGUAUGCCAGUACUUUCUCAUCAUGGAUUACAUAAGAUGAUAGUAUGUGACAAAAAUGUGCAUCUUAGAAUUGGAGAAAUAUGGUAAUAUAUAUUUCGUUUGGCUUUUCUGAUGAUUAAAGAGUUGUUAAGGCCAGGUGCAGUGGCUUGCAUCUGUGAUCCUGGCACCUCAGGAGGCCGAGGUGGGAAGAUAGCUUGAGCCUAGGAGUUCAAGACCAGCCUGGGAAACAUAAUGAAAGCCUG